UACGGAGGGGGCAAGCGUUGUUCGGAGUUACUGGGCGUAAAGAGCUCGUAGGCGGUAGUUUAAGUCAGGUGUGAAAUCCGACGGCUUAACCGGAGGACUGCACCUGAUACUGGGCUGCUAGAGGUAAGGAGAGGAAGGUGGAAUUCUCGGUGUAGCGGUGAAAUGCGUAGAUAUCGGGAGGAACACCAGUGGCGAAGGCGGCCUUCUGGCCUUAACCUGACGCUGAGGAGCGAAAGCGUGGGGAGCAAACAGG
rnacentral:rRNA from 1 species